UUAAAGUUUGAUUUUUGCUUAAAAAAUUUUAUGUUUUGGUAGAAUUUUAUAUGAAAAUUUUGAUUAUCCAUUUGAUUAGAUAAAAAUUAAAAAUUAAAUCAACAUUAUAGUUUGUAGGGUCUCAGUAUAUAGUAUUGAAAAAUAAAUUAAGGUUUGAUUCAGUUACUAAAUUAAUUCUGGCUAAAUUUUGUGCCAGCAGCCGCGGUUAUACAUUAAGAGUAAAUAAAAUAGGUUUGGAGAGUAAAGAUGUGGUUAUUUUAUUUUAUAUUGUUUUGAUUAUAUGUCAGGUAAAAUUGAAUUAUAUUUAUUAAUAUGAAUUUUGGAUAGAAAAAGUGAACUAAUUUAUGAAAUUUAAAUUAUAAACUAGGAUUAGAUACCCUAUUAUAUUUAUUUGAAAUGAUUAUCUCUGGUUAGUAAUAGUUAUAAUCUUUAAAACUAAAAAAUUUGGCGGCAUUUUAGUCCUUUUAGAGGAACUUGUUUUGUAAUCGAUAAACCUCGAAAUAUCUUGCUUGUUUUCAAUAGUUUGUAUACCGUCAUUAUUAGAUAACUUUUAUAGAAUAAGAUGUUGAAAUUUAGAAGUGAGAAAAUAUAUUAGAUCAAGGUGCAGCUUAAAUUCAAGAAAAAAUGAGUUACAAUAAUAUUUUGUUAUAAAUGGAUGGUAGAAUGAAUAUUUUAUUUGAAGGUGGAUUUAAUUGUAUAAUUUAUUUAUUAAGAUAAUUUGAUAUAGGCUCUAUAAUGUGUACAUAUCGCCCGUCGCUUUCACAUUUAAGGUGAAAUAAGUCGUAACAUAGUAGGUGAACUGGAAAGUUUAUCUAGAUAGCA
rnacentral:rRNA from 1 species